UGUAAUAACCUAGCGAAGGGCACAGAUCUCACUGACCGAAAACAUUUUUCCCCGCUCUGAAAAAACGACUCCUCGCCGGAAGGAAGAAGGAAACCUUCAAUCACCAACUUCAACCCACUUCAAGAAUACGAGUCCGGUGACAGAAAUGUUGAUUUCCCUUUAAGAUUCCACCGGGAUUACAGCCUGUGCCUCAAGUUCCGGCGUCAAUACGAGCUCCGACGAGGAGGCGGCAUCAUUUCUGGAACUGGGACGUAGGCGGAGACGAUGAGCAGAAAUCUCAGAUCCUCCGCCGCAAUGUCUCAUCGGAAUAACCCUAAACCCCUCCCGUUGGUUGUUACUCUCAACUGCAUCGAAGAUUGUUCGCUGGAACAGGAUUGUUUGGCCGGCGUUGCUGUGGUGGAGCAUGUGCCGCUUAGUCGUUUGGCAGACGGGAAAAUCGAGUCGGCUACGGCUGUGCUUCUUCAUUCACUUGCUUACCUCCCGCGGGCUGCUCAGCGCCGGCUUCAUCCUUGCCAUCUCAUCCUAUGUCUCGGUUCUGCUGAUCGCUCUGUCGAUUCUGCUUUGGCUGCGGAUCUCGGUCUCCGUCUGGUUCACGUUGAUACUUCUCGAGCGGAGGAAAUUGCCGACUCCGUCAUGGCGCUUUUUCUUGGAUUGCUUCGCCGUACUCAUCUACUCUCUCGCCAUACACUCUCGGCUUCGGGAUGGCUCGGGUCUAUCCAACCUCUUUGCCGUGGCAUGAGACGCUGUCGAGGAUUGGUUUUGGGGAUAGUUGGUAGAUCUUCUUCGGCUCGGGCUUUAGCUACGAGGAGCUUAGCCUUCAAGAUUAGCGUGCUCUAUUUUGAUGUCAAUGAUGGAAAAGUGAGCAAGUCUACAGCAACAUUUCCAUCUGCUGCUCGAAGAAUGGAUACUCUUAAUGAUUUGCUUGCUGCAAGUGAUCUUAUAUCACUUCACUGUGCCCUAACAAAUGACACAGUUCAGAUUAUCAAUGCUGAAUGUCUGCAGCACAUAAAGCCUGGGGCAUUUCUUGUUAAUACUGGUAGCAGCCAAUUAUUGGAUGAUUGUGCUGUGAAGCAACUUCUGAUUGACGGAACCUUGGCUGGCUGUGCUCUGGAUGGUGCUGAAGGGCCACAGUGGAUGGAAGCAUGGGUGAAAGAAAUGCCAAAUGUUUUGAUACUUCCCCACAGUGCAGAUUAUAGUGAAGAAGUUUGGAUGGAGAUCAGGGAGAAAUGCGUCUCCAUAUUACAAGCAUUCUUUGUUGAUGGGGUAGUUCCUGAGAAUGCCAUCUCUGAUGAGGAUGAGGAUGAAAGUGAAGUUAGUGAGGUAAAAGAACAAUCUGAUGGUCGUGGUAUAGAAGGCACCCUUCAGCUUGCUGUGGUUGAGCAGUUGGCUGAUGAUAACCAUUUAAGUCCAGAGAGCUCCCAGAAGAAAGGGUUGAAUCUCUCACCGGAGUCAUCCAGUCAGCCCCACAGUUCCAGUUUGUCUCAAACUACUGUCACCAGGUCUGAUGGAAGACGCAGUAGGUCCGGUAAGAAAGCCAAAAAAAGGCACACACGUCAAAAAUCUCAACAGAAAGAUGAUUCUCACGCGUUAGAAAAGGAAAGUACCUCUCAUCGAGAAGAUGAUACUGCUAUGAGUAGCACAGAUCAAGUAUUAAGUUCAAGCUCUCGAUUUGCUUCCCCUGAUGAAUCGAGAAACAGGAAAGUUCCUAUGGAGUCUAUGCAAGAAUCUACCUCAGAUCUAUCACUUAAAUCAAAAAAGAAAUUAGUUAGGAAGUCUAUUAGUCAGCUGAAAGACGGGUAUAUUGUUGCCAUAUAUGCUAGAGAUCGUCCUGCAGUCCAUGUAUCCCGGCAAAGAGUUAAAGGUGGUGGUUGGUUUCUUGAUACCAUGACUGAUGUGACAAAAAGAGACCCCGCUGCACAGUUUCUGGUUGUUUUUAGAAACAAGGAUACAAUUGGUCUCCGAUCUCUCUCUGCUGGUGGGAAGUUAUUGCAGAUAAAUCGUAGAACGGAGUUUGUAUUUGCUAGCCACAGUUUUGAUGUUUGGGAGAGUUGGAUGCUUGAAGGCUCUCUGGAAGAAUGUAGGCUGGUCAAUUGUAGAAACCCAUUGGCACUUUUGGAUGUGCGCAUUGAAGUCCUUGCAACUGUAGGUGAUGAUGGAGUUACCCGCUGGCUAGAUUAGAAGUAUUCAAAAUUUCCACCUCAUUUGUCCACUAAUUAAAGAGACGGCUGGACCAGGCCAGAAUGUUCUGAUGCCAUUUCCUUCCCUGCCGGCUAUGGGCGACGCAGAGUUUGGAGGUGACUAUUUUAGGUUUGUACAUUUUCUGUUGUAACUAAUUUGAAUCUAUGAAGUAUGUGUAUGGCUACAUGGGAUUUGUUGGUAGAUUUGUUUACGGUCUCAUGACAACGGGUUGAGGGUUAACUCAUGCAAGGCAAGAGUUUGGCUAGCAAACUUAAAGAGUGAUUAGGACAAUGAAUAGAGUUGUGAAGUUGUGGGUAUAUGGUGUAAGGAUUUUUUUUUUAAUCACACGGGACAAGUAGAGAAUCAAACAAUUUGUUUCGACUAGAUAAUUUUAAGAUUCUUCAUUAUUUCUACCAUCAAAAAGUUGUAAGAUCCAUGGUCUUUUUAGCAACCUAAAGGAAUCAAUUUGAAGGCAAA